rnacentral:rRNA from 1 species
GACGAACGCUGGCGGCGUGCCUAAUACAUGCAAGUAGAACGCUGAAGAGAGGAGCUUGCUCUUCUUGGAUGAGUUGCGAACGGGUGAGUAACGCGUAGGUAACCUGCCUUGUAGCGGGGGAUAACUAUUGGAAACGAUAGCUAAUACCGCAUAACAAUGGGUGACACAUGUCAUUUAUUUGAAAGGGGCAAUUGCUCCACUACAAGAUGGACCUGCGUUGUAUUAGCUAGUAGGUGAGGUAACGGCUCACCUAGGCGACGAUACAUAGCCGACCUGAGAGGGUGAUCGGCCACACUGGGACUGAGACACGGCCCAGACUCCUACGGGAGGCAGCAGUAGGGAAUCUUCGGCAAUGGGGGCAACCCUGACCGAGCAACGCCGCGUGAGUGAAGAAGGUUUUCGGAUCGUAAAGCUCUGUUGUAAGUCAAGAACGAGUGUGAGAGUGGAAAGUUCACACUGUGACGGUAGCUACCA